AUUGAACGCUGGCGGCAUGCUUUACACAUGCAAGUCGAACGGCAGCGCGGGCUUCGGCCUGGCGGCGAGUGGCGAACGGGUGAGUAAUACAUCGGAACGUGCCCAGUAGUGGGGGAUAGCUCGGCGAAAGCCGGAUUAAUACCGCAUACGACCUGAGGGUGAAAGCGGGGGAUCUUCGGACCUCGCGCUAUUGGAGCGGCCGAUGGCAGAUUAGCUAGUUGGUGGGGUAAAGGCCUACCAAGGUGACGAUCUGUAGCUGGUCUGAGAGGACGACCAGCCACACUGGGACUGAGACACGGCCCAGACUCCUACGGGAGGCAGCAGUGGGGAAUUUUGGACAAUGGGCGAAAGCCUGAUCCAGCAAUGCCGCGUGUGUGAUGAAGGCCUUCGGGCUGUAAAGCACUUUUGGCGGGAACGAAAAGGACUGUGCCAAUACCACGGUUCGAUGACGGUACCCGCAGAAUAAGCACCGGCUAACUACGUG
rnacentral:rRNA from 1 species